rnacentral:rRNA from 1 species
UACGUAGGCAGCAAGCGUUGUUCGGAUUUACUGGGCGUAAAGGGUGCGUAGGCGGCCUUAUAAGUGUGGUGUGAAAUCUCCCGGCUUAACUGGGAGAGUGCGCUAUAGACUGUGGGGCUAGAGUGUGGUAGAGGAAGCUAGAAUUCCCGGUGUAGCGGUGAAAUGCGUAGAUAUCGGGAGGAAUACCUAUGGCGAAAGCAGGCUUCUGGACCAUCACUGACGCUGAGCUGCGAAAGCGAGGGGAGCAAACAGG